CCUANGGGAGGCUGCAGUCGAGAAUCUUCGGCAAUGCGCGAAAGCGUGACCGAGCGACGCCGCGUGAUGGAAGAAGGCCUUCGGGUUGUAAACAUCUUUUAUACGGGAAGAAUUUUGACGGUACCGUAUGAAUAAGGGGUUCCUAACUCUGUGCCAGCAGGAGCGGUAAUACAGAGACCCCAACCGUUACCCGGAUUUAUUGGGCGUAAAGCGUCCGCAGCCGGCGUGGAAAGUGGUUUGUUAAAUCCAGAAGCUCAACUUCUGGGCUGCAGUCCAAACUUCCAUGCUAGAGAGAUGAAGAGGCAUAUGGAACUCAUGGUGGAGCAGUGAAAUGCGUUGAUAUCAUGGGGAACACCAAUGGCGAAGGCAGUAUGCUGGUCAUUUUCUGACGGUCAUGGACGAAAGCGUGGGUAGCGAACGGGAUUAGAUACCCGGNUANUC
rnacentral:rRNA from 1 species